rnacentral:hammerhead_ribozyme from 1 species
AUUCAGCUGACGAGUCCCAAAUAGAACGAAACGCGCAUCCUAGAU